GCCCGUGUGGUGUAGUGGUAGCACGCAUUCCACUUGAGACGUCCCUCUCUUUUCGCAUAUGAGUUGGUAAUCGUGGUUUGAGGUCCCUUGUUCAACUCGUGGGUACGGGCG